GAGGAAGAGGAAGGGGAGGUUGUUACUCUGCUGCAGAUGGACUGUGAGUCAGUCCCGGACAAGCUCAGCCUCUCUGGAGAAGAUUAAAAGUCGCCGUUGCUGUGGGGAGGUCUGAAAUUCAGAGUUUCACAAAGCCGUGACAGUGACUUCACACUGCUACAAGCUGGCCAUUUAAAUAGGACAAAUAAAUAUGAUUUGGAAAACCCACAUGUGAUAUAAAGCUACUACAUCAGUACAGUUUAUUGUGUCUUUCUUUUUCCAGAGUUCCUGGAUCACACAGAAAUGAAUGUGGAGCCAGAGGACUUGCACAGACCACAAGACGCCGCUGUUCUCCAUGAUCGGGCUACACAAGGUAA